AGAUGGUCAUAACCAAGAAGACUAGAGACCUAAUUACAUACAUCUAAUUAGGUCUCUAGUCUUCUUGGUCAUAACUGACAAUAACUCAUAAAGUUUUCAAUAAAAAAAAUAAAGAGAAAUAGUUUAAUUAAAAAUAAUCAACAAUUUUAACUAAAAUGAUAACAUUGAUAUUUUUUUGAUCUGUCACAAAACUCAGCAAAAUGGAGUAAUGGAGUAAUGGAGUAGUUAAAAUAAUAAUCUAGUCUGAUGAUGAUUCCAACGGUAAAGAUGGUUUUUUGGUUAUAAACGAUCUUUAUCUUGAUCCACCAAAUAUCAGAAUGAACCUUCUUUACUUGACCAUGGUACUUCAUAUGUCCUAGAACAUGUUUUUAAAUGCAAAUGAGUAUUUUUAAGAUGUCAAGUUCAAAGGGCAAUCAAUAUUAUAAAUCUAAUUACAUGUUUUAUCUCACAUUGACUGUUCAACUGCCAAAUUUAUUUUUCAAUUGGUUUGAUCUAUUCUUUUCAACUGGAGGAAAAAUUGGCAAGAGAAUUGUUUGGGGUUUAGUUGUUGAAGCUGUUAUAUUUUUAUUCACAAUUGGAAUGGCCAUGGAUGAUACUAAAAAUCAAACAACAUUAUUUUUUUGGAUUACAAUGGGAUCUGUUUUUCUUUUAAAUACUACGAAUGGUAUUUAUCAAAAUUCUGUAUAUGGUAUGGCUGCAAAACUACCUGGUAAAUAUACUGGAGCUAUUACUUUAGGAUCGAGUGCAUUUAUUGUGGCAGUAUUAAAUAUUUGGAUACGUCAGUGUGUCAGUCACAUCGUCAAUGUCAUAACAAAAGUAAGACAAGAUGGAAAAGCAAGUGAUGGUGAUUUUAUGACUAGUAUUUUUCAACAACUAGCGAUACCAGCAUUUAAAUUAGCUCGCAUGUAUGUAAUUCAAAAACUUUUUACAUUUACUUAUGUAUAUACACUGUCAUGUGUAGGACAAAGAGUAACAAUGAAAUUUCGUCAAGAUUUGGUAAAACUGUUGCAAUUGUUGAAUCAAGUGGUAAUGGUAAAUCAACUAUUGCUGCAUUAUUAGAACGAAUGUAUGAUGUUACUAGUGAAACAAUAAAAAUUGAUGGUGUUGAUAUUAGAACAAUAAAUUCAAGUGAUUUGAGGCGAAAACUUAUGGGUUAUAUUGAUCAAGAGCCAAUUUUAUUUUCAACAAGUAUUAUGUAAAAUAUUAGAUAUGGUUGUUUAGAUGCUACAUUUACCAAUCUUAUAUCACAAUGAUUGGGUUUAUUUUAUUCUUUCAUUAACAAUGGGUCUUUCAAGUGGUUAUUUUUCAUCACUUACCAUGAUGAAUUGUGGAAAAUGUGUUGAACCAGCAUGGAAUUUCAGUCUCUAUUAUCAUUAAAAUUAAUAUUAGAUUAUUAAAUCAAGUUAAAGCACCACCAACAAUACCAACCAGCUAUCAUCAUCUAAUAUAUCAGUAAUUACAAAUAAUAGUAGAAAUUAUGCACAGGAUGUUACAUUAAGAGUUGCUCAUGGAUAACAACUACAAGUGUAUCAAUUACAACUUGUACAACAUCAUUUGCAUUUAAUCAAUGCAAUUAAAAGUGCACUAUGGCAAAUGUUGUUAGAAGUUCUAAUUACGAGGUUCGAGAAACGAUGCUGUUAGUUGAUUUAGUUUAUAAAUAUAAAUCAAUUAUUAAUAACAAAGAAACAGAUGGGAUCAGCAAUAAAUUUAAAGAUGAAUGUUGGACAAAAAUAGAAAAAGAAUUCAAUCAAGGACCAUCUCAAAAUGAAAGUCGACCUAUAUCAUCAUUAAAAAAUAAAUGGUCGAAUUUAAAAAAAGAGGCAAGGUCAUACAGUGCCGGUAUGAAGAGAAUAAAAUACGAAACAGGAGGAGGAAAAAAAAAAUUGUUCACUAAUGAUGUAUUUGAAAAAGUUUUAUCAAUUAUUGGUUUGUCAGCAACUGGUUUUAAUAGUGAAUAUGAUAAUGAUGCUGAACCACUGAAGAAAAAACUAAAACAGAAUGAAGUAAUACCUUGUGUUAAUGAUAUUUUGGAAGAUCAAGAAAAUUCAAUUGAAAACAAUAAAGAUUGCCAAGAAAUUUUUGAUCAUUUAGUUCAUGAAUCAAAAGAAAUACCACUUUGGGAUCGUUGGGAAAAAAAAUCAUCUAAAAAACUAGUCAGCGCUCCUCCAGUCUUCUAUUUCAAAAGUUGUGAAAUUACAUGUAACAGAGAAAAAAAUCCAACUUCCAAAUGGAAGCACAUCCACUUUGAAACAAGUCAAACCCUUGUCUGAAUUGAACAUCAAUAAAAAAAAAAUCAAUGAACGUGAUUUAACUAAUUAUAAAAACUGUGAAAGUAAUAUAUGCACUAAAAGUAUGGCAAAUUACAUAUCAGCUGAUACUUCAUCACAGCCAUCUCUUAAUGCAUCUGUCACUUCACCUGGUCAAGAUAGACACCCCAAUAAUAUCAAGACCCUACACAGCUUGAAAAAAAUAUUACCAGAGGCAACCCCAAAAAUUAAUGAACUUAUUGAUAUGAUGAUUCAUGAAACAAAACAAAAGAUGCCAAUAGAAAUUGAAAUGUUGAAAAUAUCGUUGAGGAAAGAAGAACUUCAAUGCCGAUUAUUGGAGCAGCAAGUUGAAGAAAAUAAAAAAAAAAAUUAAACAAGAUAAAAUAAAAAAAUAGCACCAAAAAAACAUUUUCACAAUACCAGCAUCUCAUUUAUAUU